UUGACAUUCUAGAAGAAUUGUCGUAUAAAUAAAUAAUAAUAAUAAUAGGAGUCACGGUUUGAAUUGGACAUAUCAUAUUGUGACACUGUAUAAUGAACACAUUGACUUGACGGAAUCUUGACUACUCAUCAAUUUAAACAAACACGGUGAAAUACACUACAAUGAUGAACCUAUUCGGAAAUAUGCUUGAUGAUGGGGACUAACUUUUUGAUGCUGGAUAACAUCUAAUUGUUUCAAUUCUCAUAUUAAGCAGUUCUGAUGAUAUUCUCAACUAAUAAUGUGCAAAAGGAUUGAUGACGUGGAAUGGACUGUCAACUUUAUCUAAUAACAACAUGUUCUAGCUCUGAAGAAGUGCAGGGAUAUCUCUGGAAAAAAUGUUUUAUCUAAGAGCCUAUAGGCACUCACACAUGUACCGUCUGCUUCAUCUCUUCGUCGAACUAGAGGAACGAUUAUGUAUCACACAACUGAUAUUAAAUAAGCGAAUUUAAUAGAAUUUUUUUUAUUUUUUAUUAGUCCUAAUAUAGUAAAUUUCUUCAUUUUUAUAAUUUUUACAUGUUUAAAGUCGACUGUCCAAAACUUGCCUUUUAUUUUAGCGGACUAAAGACAAAAAUUACUGAUACGGCAAGGUGUGCCAAAUGCGAAGGACAUAAAAAACACUUAAAAAAACGAUGGGAGGCAAAAGUCUGACAAAGGGAUGAAGCUGGCAGUGCAUGAAUGCCUAUGCCUUCAGGUAAAAGAGUUUUUUCUAAAGUCAUCCGUGUAUUUCAAAAACUGAAACAAUUGUUUUACUCACCAUGGAGGCUACAUUAGAAAAUAAUGUAAAUGUACAUAUUAUGUAUUCAAUAAAUUUCG